CGCGAAAUCAAGUACCUCGAUCGCGACCCACACAUCCCGCGGUAGCACCUCGCAAAAUGGCCUGGUCGGAUUCGUCGUAACACGGCCACAACUUACCUUCACCCGCUAACGCUACCCGCGAUCUACCACUUCACUUCGCGGCCUCCACUUCAUGCGAUCACUGCCUGCGAUUCACCUUGGUUGAAUCUCGACAUCUUGACGUAGAGCAAUCGCAUGCAUGCUCUGAUUGCGGCUGUGAACCGCGAUCACCGAGUACCAUUGCAGCCUCUUGUUGCCUGCUAAAGGAGCCUGCUACGGUACCAUCACAGCCACCGCACCUUCUCCAAGAUUCUCCACCUUAUCUUACGAAGCUAGCAUCCUCUGUCAUCAUCGUGGUCGAGCUCGUGCUCCACCAUCGUCUCUCCUCCACCAAGCUCAAUCCUCGUUGCAAAUCAAA
rnacentral:lncRNA from 1 species